rnacentral:rRNA from 1 species
UGAGUAACCUGCCCUGGACUUUGGGAUAACCCUCGGAAACGGGGGCUAAUACCGGAUAUGACACGCUCUCGCAUGGGAUGUGUGUGGAAAGUUUUUCGGUCUGGGAUGGGCUCGCGGCCUUAUCAGCUAGUUGGUGUGGGUAAUGGCCCACCAAGGCGACGACGGGUAGCCGGCCUGAGAGGGUGACCGGCCACACUGGGACUGAGACACGGCCCAGACUCCGUACGGGAGCA